rnacentral:rRNA from 1 species
CCUGGUUGAUCCUACUAGUAGUAAUAUGCUUGUCUCAAAGAUUAAGCUAUACAUGUGUAAGUACGAAGAAAUUCAGAUUGUGAAACAUCGAAUGGCUCAAUAAAUCAGUUAUAGCUUUUUUGAUGGUAUCUACCACUUGGAUAACCGUAAUAAUUCUUGAGCUAAUACGUGCAACAAACCUCGAAUUCUGGAAGGGAUAUAUUUAUUAGAUAAAAGGUCGACCGAUGCUCUGCCUGUUACUAUGAUGAUUCAUGAUAACUCGACAGAUCGCAUGACCAUCAUAUCGGUGAUACAUUAUUGAAAUUUUUGCCCUAUUAACUUUCAAUGGUAGGAUAGUGGCCUACCAUAGUGAUGAUGGGUGAUGGAUAAUUAGGGUUCAAUUUCAAAGAGGGAGCCUACAAAAUGGCUACAACAUUCAAGAAAGGUAGAAGACGUGCAAAUUACGAAAUCCUGACAUGGGGAGGUAGUGACGAUAAAUAACAAUACCAAACUUACUGAGUCUGGUACAAUCUAAAUCCCUUAAUGAGAAUCCAUUGCAGGGAAAUUUUGGUGCCAGUAGCCACAGUAAUUCUAGAUCCAAUAGCGUAUAUUUAAGUUGUUACAGUUAAAAAGCUCAUAGUUGGACUUUGGUAUGGGCCGGCCGGUCCGCCUAUGGUAUGUACCGAUUAUCUUGUCCCUUUUAUCGGUGAUGCGCUCCUUGACUUAACUAGCCGGGUCGUGCCUCCAGUGCUGUUUCGUUGAAUAAUUAGAGAGCACAGAGUAAGCCUACCUCUAUAUACUAUAGCAUGGGAUAACAUUAUAGGAUUUUGGUCCUAUUAUGUUGGACUUCGGGAUCGGAUUAAUGAUUAACAGGGAUAGUCGGGGAAAUCCAUUUUUCAUAGUCAGAGGAGAAAUUCUUGGACUUAUGAAAGAUGAACAACCGCAGAAUCAUUUGCCAAGGAUGUUUUCAUUAAUCAAGAAUGAAAGUUGGGGGCUCGAAGACGAUCAAAUACCGCUCUAGUCUCAACCAUAAAUGAUGUCAACCAGGGAUCGGUGAAUGAUAUUUUUAGGACUCCGCCGGCACCCUAUGAGAAAUCAGAGAUUUUGGGUUCCGGAGGGAGUAUGGUCGCCAGAAUUAAAGUUAAAGAAAUUGACAAAAGGGCACCAUCAAGAGUGGAGCCUGCAGCUUAAUCUGACUCAACACAGUGAAACUUAAUAGGUCCAUACAUAGUANGGUGAAUGAUAUUUUUAGGACUCCGCCGGCACCCUAUGAGAAAUCAAAGAUUUUGGAUUCCAGAGGGAGUACGGUCGCCAGAAUUAAACUUAAAGAAAUUGACGAAAGGGAACCAUCAAGAGUAGAGCCUGCAACUUAAUCUGACUCAACACGGGGAAACUUACCAGGUCCAUACAUAGUAAGGAUUGACAGACUGAGAGCUCUUUCUUAAUUCUAUGGGUGGUGGUGCAUGGCCGUUCUUAGUAUGUGGAGAAAUUUGUCUGUUUAAUUCCAUUAACGAAUGAGACUUCAAACUGCUAACUAGCUAUGUGGAGGUAUCCCUUCACGAACAACUUCUUAAAGGGACUGCGACCUUUAACUCCACGGAAGUUUGAAGCAAUAAUUGGUCUAUGAUGCCCUUAGAUAUUUUGGGCCGCACGUGCUACAUUGAUGUAUUCGAUGAGUUUAUAGCCUUGGCCGACAGGCCUGGGUAAUCUUUGCAAUUUUAUUGUGAUAGGGAUAGAUCACUGCAAUUAUUGGUCUUCAAUGCGUAAUUCCUAGUAAGCGUGAGUCAUCAGCUACCAUUGACUACGUCCCUGCCCUUUGUACACUCCGCCGUCGCUCCUACCGAUUGAAUGAUCUGGUGAAAUUUUUGGAUCAUGGCGAUGUGGGUGGAUCGCUGCCCGCAACAUCACGAGAAGUCUAUUGGACCUUAUCAUUUAGAUGAAUGCAAAGUCCUACUAAGGUUUCCAUUGGUAAACCUGCGGAAG